CACACACCGGCGUGAGGAGCGACCAAAAAUCCUCAGCACUCUUUGCUCUGGACACCUGGAACAGGAAAGAGCAGCCCUCGAGCAGCGUGGUGUUAACAUUCCCAAAAAGCACCAUGGCAACCUCUCAGUGUUCUUGCCUUCGUGGUCAGCAAGCAGAAGUCUCCAAAGGGGAUGAGACGAGGGGGACAAAAUCAAAUCUGGACACUGCAGCUUCUCCCAAGGAUCCACAACCCACCAGGGACGUGGUAAGUGUUGUGCUGAUGCUUCUGUAUUUUUACAGAAUGUUGAUUUUAUCAGUGAUUUGCUGUGCAAUCGCUCUGCCAAACAGUGAGCCUCAAAUGAGAAGAUUUUGGUUGUCAAGAGCACCAUUCUGGAAACGUCUAAAUCAUGACAACUUCGCCCAGUUUUGCUUUCCACUCUGAAUUUUACCUUUCCUCACAUCAUUCGAGUUCUUGAUUUCUGUUACUGAAUGUUUUUUACUCCCCUGAAGACAUUUUGUUAACUUGGAGACUGUUCUCAUGUAUGCUGUCCUUACAGCUGAGCUCUAAGCAUUAUUUUAAAA
rnacentral:lncRNA from 1 species